CUACAAUAGUAUCGUAUCUCAUCUUAUGUUUUGCCUUGUUAGCUGUGUGUAGUUAACGACUGCAGAGGCACAGAUGUUGUUUUUUGUCUGAGUGAGAAAAAACGGAGAUUCUGUGUGAGCGGGUUCAAGCUAACCGCUAAAGCUAACCGCUAAAGCUAACGGCUAAGCUGCGGCCUGCGAGCCUCGUCGCGGACUGAGUGGACCUUGAACUGGACAGACGGAGGUGCUUCUGGAUGAGGAGUUACCUGGACGAGGAGUUACCUGGAUGAGGAGUUACCUGGAUGAGGAGUUACCUGUCGCUCCUCUGACCGUUUCAUUUCCUGAGACAUUGGAUUAUUCGUCGGCUGGCUGCUGACUUUUCAGACACAGAGCUGUGAACGCCACGACGUGGAUUCUGCUAACGGCUAACUGUGAGUUUGCUGACCGGAGAUCAACGCCGCUGCGGGGAUUUCGUGGGCUGUUUCCUGUGAUCAUCGUGGGUUUUCUACUCUGCACCUGGACUACGGCGACCAGCUGGAGAUCUACACACAGAGCAGGACCCCCACCCAGACCAGAGCAGGACCCUCACCCGGACCAGAGCAGGACCCUCACCCGGACCAGAGCAGGACCCUCACCCGGACCAGAGCAGGACCCUCACCCAGACCAGAGCAGGACCCUCACCCAGAACAGAGCAGGACCCUCACCCAGAACAGAGCAGGACCCUCACCCAGACCAGAGCAGGACCCCCACCCAGACCAGAGCAGGACCCUCACCCGGACCAGAGCAGGACCCCCACCCAGACCAGAGCAGGACCCCCACCCGGGGGUCACAGAUGCUGAGAGGAAAACAGGACAAAGGAUUUCUAUUUGAAACCUUUUCAAAGUUCAUUUUAAUCUGCAAACUAAAAUCAACCAUCAGGGACACAACAUAUAACUGACAGAUGUAAUUAUAAAGGAGUCAUAAGAAUAAGUUAGAGGCAGUUUUCUUACUUUGUCUCUGAGGGUUUAGGUUCUUUACUGAAGUCUGGAGGAUGAUCGUUGGAUCGGUCGCUCUUCAUAGACAGACAGCUGGAGGCUGCAGACUCUACUCUCCGUCUUCUGAAAUACAUGUUUGUAUUCUCAUCAAUCACUGAUCAAUUCUCUGAUCAUAUAUGUAGUUUAAAUACACAAACUGCAGAUGAUGAGAUGGUUAAUCUUUGC
ensembl:lncRNA